GGAAGAUUUUAAUUUCACAAAUAUGAUUUGUGAGGGCAUGGAUACAAGAGCUAGGCUGUGCCAGUCAGAGGCACCUGCUCCAAACUUUGAAAGUAGUGAUGCAGAGAACCCUAAAUGGGUGAAAACCCUUAGACAGUCCAGGAGCCUGACUUUCUGGGGUAGUAAAGGCAGUGAGGCUGGCAGUGGCAGUGCCAGUAACAGAAGUGAUGUAGGCUACCACAUCCAUCCCUUAUCACAGGGUGACAUGAUUAAUUCUAGGUUACAAAUCUUCCCUGCAAAGCCUCCACAUUUCAGUCUAUAACUCUCAUGGUGAUGGUUUAAACCACUUACCAGCCUUUUAAUGCUCUCCACAUACAUCCUGCUUACAUCAAGUAGCAGCAGUUUUUAUUGCUUUUUACUAAGAAAACUUACUGUUACAGUCACUCCAGGAAAGUAUGGGUUGAAGAAAAGUGGUUACUACCUACUUCAGGGGAACUGUAGUGUUUUUUUGAUUUGUGUCUAGAAUCAAACCCAGGGCCUUGAACAUGCUAAGCACACACUCUACCACUGAGCUAGCACCCUUGACCCCAACUGUACUGUUCAAAAGGAAGGAUGGAAGAGAAAUGCAUGUUUCCCAGAAGCUAAGUUUCAAGAAGAAAAGGACCAGCUUGGUCACAUGCCCCCAAAGGUCAAUACGAAGGUGUUAAGAAGUGCUGAUUAGAUAUGGUGGUAUGGAGGUCACUAUUGAGCUUACCAAAAGCAAUUUCAGUGGAGUGACUGGGACAGCAGCAAGUGAAGUGGUGGAAAGUAUGAACAGUUGGUGCACAAAUGGGAAAGAACUGUUUAGAGAGAAACCUUUUAAGAAGUUGGUUCAUGAAGCACAAAAAGUAGGGCAGCACCUGGCUGGGGAUGCGCAUACUGGCAGGAAAGACCAGUGAAUGGUGCUCAAAGAGCCAGCUACUCAAUGAGGCUAAAGGGCAGAUCAGGGUCACUGCUGAAAAUCACACCAUCUUUCUUACAUAUCAGGAAUCUUAAAACUUUUUUAUAUGUUGUCAAUUUGAUCUUUCAUGUUUCUAAACUUCAUUUUGGUUCCUUCUGGGUUUUUUUUCUUUUUUUAGUUGUCAAUAGAUCUUUAUUUUAUUUAUUUAUAUGUGGUGCUGAGAAUUGAACCCAGGGCCUCAAAUAUGCUAGGCAAGUGCUCUACCACUGAGCCACAACCCUAGCCCUGGGUCCUUCUGUUUUAAUAUAUGAUCUGUUCUUUUGCUCUUCCUUUGACAGUUCCUGGGUUUUGUAUUAUGUUUAUAUAUUUAAUAGGGGUUUAAAAAUACACUUGGGUUUUCUAUUUAAUUAGUUUUCAUUCAUUCAUUUAGGAUUAUUUAAGUAGAGCAGGACAGAGAUCUAAUAUUUUUUCCAACCACUAAACUGACAUGUUUAUUACAUAUUAUCCGCACACACAGACUGACUUUCUGUUUCUAAGUUCUUUAUUGUAUUCCACUGUUAGCCAUUCCUAUGCCCAUUCAUGUUUAAAGAAUUAUUGUAGCUGUGUCUUAUAAUUGUGUCGAGCAAGUCUCCUAGUGCUAGUCAUCUUCGUCAUCUAACAUAUGAACCAAUUUAAGGAGAACUGACAGGAAACCUUCCAUUCAAGAAUGUAAUUUAGGAGCUGGGACUGUAGCUCAGUGGCAGAGUGCUUGCCUAGCAUAUGAGAGGCACUGGGUUUGAUCCUUAGCACCACAUAAAAAUAAACAAAUAAAAUAAAAACAUACUAUCCACCUACAACUAAAAAAACAUGUAAUUUUUCUUUCCAGUUUUCUGAGUUUUCUUACAUCUUUCUGUAAAACUUGUAGUUGUUCUUUAGUUCUUAUACAUUCCUUGACAUAUUUAAGCUUGCACCUGGUAGCCUUCUACUGUUCUAAUUUGAUCUGGGGGCCCCAUAUAUCUAGAAUAAUGGAACUUUUCCUUAAAUACUCUCUUAGCCAGGGUCCCUUCCCCCCCUCCCAUGCUGGGAUUGAAUCCAGGGCCCACUGAGCUACAUCCCCUGCCUUUAGAUGGGAUUUUUAUAGGAACUGAAUGAAAAAUAAUUUAGAGGGUUGUAGACUGCAGAUUCUCUACAGUAUUAUUAUUUUUUUAAAGAGAGAGAGAAUUUUUUAAUAUUUAUUUUUUAGUUUUCGG
rnacentral:lncRNA from 1 species